CUUGCUCCUUUGACGUUAGCGGCGGACGGGUGAGUAACACGUGGGUAACCUACCUAUAAGACUGGGAUAACUUCGGGAAACCGGAGCUAAUACCGGAUAACAUUUGGAACCGCAUGGUUCUAAAGUGAAAGAUGGUUUUGCUAUCACUUAUAGAUGGACCCGCGCCGUAUUAGCUAGUUGGUAAGGUAACGGCUUACCAAGGCGACGAUACGUAGCCGACCUGAGAGGGUGAUCGGCCACACUGGAACUGAGACACGGUCCAGACUCCUACGGGAGGCAGCAGUAGGGAAUCUUCCGCAAUGGGCGAAAGCCUGACGGAGCAACGCCGCGUGAGUGAUGAAGGGUUUCGGCUCGUAAAACUCUGUUAUUAGGGAAGAACAAACGUGUAAGUAACUGUGCACGUCUUGACGGUACCUAAUCAGAAAGCCACGGCUAACUACGUGCCAGCAGCCGCGGUAAUACGUAGGUGGCAAGCGUUAUCCGGAAUUAUUGGGCGUAAAGCGCGCGUAGGCGGUUUCUUAAGUCUGAUGUGAAAGCCCACGGCUCAACCGUGGAGGGUCAUUGGAAACUGGGAAACUUGAGUGCAGAAGAGGAAAGUGGAAUUCCAUGUGUAGCGGUGAAAUGCGCAGAGAUAUGGAGGAACACCAGUGGCGAAGGCGACUUUCUGGUCUGUAACUGACGCUGAUGUGCGAAAGCGUGGGG
rnacentral:rRNA from 1 species